rnacentral:rRNA from 1 species
GACGAACGCUGGCGGCGUGCUUAACACAUGCAAGUCGAACGGAAAGGCCCUGCUUUUGUGGGGUGCUCGAGUGGCGAACGGGUGAGUAACACGUGAGUAACCUGCCCUUGACUUUGGGAUAACUUCAGGAAACUGGGGCUAAUACCGGAUAGGAGCUCCUGCUGCAUGGUGGGGGUUGGAAAGUUUCGGCGGUUGGGGAUGGACUCGCGGCUUAUCAGCUUGUUGGUGGGGUAGUGGCUUACCAAGGCUUUGACGGGUAGCCGGCCUGAGAGGGUGACCGGCCACAUUGGGACUGAGAUACGGCCCAGACUCCUACGGGAGGCAGCAGUGGGGAAUAUUGCACAAUGGGCGGAAGCCUGAUGCAGCAACGCCGCGUGCGGGAUGACGGCCUUCGGGUUGUAAACCGCUUUCGCCUGUGACGAAGCGUGAGUGACGGUAAUGGGUAAAGAAGCACCGGCUAACUACGUGCCAGCAGCCGCGGUGAUACGUAGGGUGCGAGCGUUGUCCGGAUUUAUUGGGCGUAAAGGGCUCGUAGGUGGUUGAUCGCGUCGGAAGUGUAAUCUUGGGGCUUAACCCUGAGCGUGCUUUCGAUACGGGUCGACUUGAGGAAGGUAGGGGAGAAUGGAAUUCCUGGUGGAGCGGUGGAAUGCGCAGAUAUCAGGAGGAACACCAGUGGCGAAGGCGGUUCUCUGGGCCUUUCCUGACGCUGAGGAGCGAAAGCGUGGGGAGCGAACAGGCUUAGAUACCCUGGUAGUCCACGCUGUAAACGGUGGGUACUAGGUGUGGGGUCCAUUCCACGGGUUCCGUGCCGUAGCUAACGCUUUAAGUACCCCGCCUGGGGAGUACGGCCGCAAGGCUAAAACUCAAAGGAAUUGACGGGGCCCCGCACAAGCGGCGGAGCAUGCGGAUUAAUUCGAUGCAACGCGUAGAACCUUACCUGGGUUUGACAUGGAUCGGGAGCGCUCAGAGAUGGGUGUGCCUCUUUUGGGGUCGGUUCACAGGUGGUGCAUGGCUGUCGUCAGCUCGUGUCGUGAGAUGUUGGGUUAAGUCCCGCAACGAGCGCAACCCUUGUUCACUGUUGCCAGCACGUUAUGGUGGGGACUCAGUGGAGACCGCCGGGGUCAACUCGGAGGAAGGUGGGGAUGACGUCAAGUCAUCAUGCCCCUUAUGUCCAGGGCUUCACGCAUGCUACAAUGGCUGGUACAGAGAGUGGCGAGCCUGUGAGGGUGAGCGAAUCUCGGAAAGCCGGUCUCAGUUCGGAUUGGGGUUUGCAACUCGACCUCAUGAAGUCGGAGUCGCUAGUAAUCGCAGAUCAGCAACGCUGCGGUGAAUACGUUCCCGGGGCUUGUACACACCGCCCGUCAAGUCAUGAAAGUUGGUAACACCCGAAGCCGGUGGCCUAACCGUUGUGGGGGAGCCGUCGAAGGUGGGACUGGUGAUUAGGACU